UACGUAGGGUGCGAGCGUUGUCCGGAAUUAUUGGGCGUAAAGAGCUCGUAGGCGGUUUGUUGCGUCUAUCGUGAAAACCUGCGGCUUAACUGUGGGCGUGCGGUCGAUACGGGCAUCACUGGAGUUCGGCAGGGGAGACUGGAAUUCCUGGUGUAGCGGUGAAAUGCGCAGAUAUCAGGAGGAACACCGGUGGCGAAGGCGGGUCUCUGGGCCGAUACUGACGCUGAGGAGCGAAAGCGUGGGGAGCAAACAGG
rnacentral:rRNA from 1 species